rnacentral:rRNA from 1 species
AAGUCGUAACAAGGUUUCCGUAGGUGAACCUGCGGAAGGAUCAUUACAAGUGAGGCUACCGAACGUUGGAAACAGCGGUUAGGAGCUUACACCCACCCGUGUUUACAUACUAUUGUUGCUUUGGCGGGCCGUGGCCUCCACUGCGGGCUCUGCUCGUGUGUGCCCGCCAGAGGACCAAACUCUGAAUGUUAGUGAUGUCUGAGUACUAUCUAAUAGUUAAAACUUUCAACAACGGAUCUCUUGGUUCUGGCAUCGAUGAAGAACGCAGCGAAAUGCGAUAAGUAAUGUGAAUUGCAGAAUUCAGUGAAUCAUCGAAUCUUUGAACGCACAUUGCGCCCUGUGGUAUUCCGCAGGGCAUGCCUGUUCGAGCGUCAUUUAACCACUCACGCCUAGCGUGGUAUUGGGGCACGCGGUCUCGCGGCCCUCAAAAUUAGUGGCGGCGCCGGUGGGCUCUGAGCGUAGUACAUACUCCCGCUAUAGAGUUCCCCCGGUGGCUCGCCAGAACCCCCAAUUUUUUACAGGUUGACCUCGGAUCAGGUAGGGAUACCCGCUGAACUUAAGCAUAUCAAUAAGCGGAGGAAAAGAAACCAACAGGGAUUACCUCAGUAACGGCGAGUGAAGCGGUAACAGCUCAAAUUUGAAAGCUGCCAACAGGCCGCGUUGUAAUUUGUAGAAGCUGCUUUGGGUGUCGGCCCGGUCUAAGUUCCUUGGAACAGGACGUCAUAGAGGGUGAGAAUCCCGUAUGUGAUCGGUGCCGUUGCCCGUGUAAAGCGCUUUCGACGAGUCGAGUUGUUUGGGAAUGCAGCUCAAAAUGGGUGGUAAAUUUCAUCUAAAGCUAAAUAUUGGCCAGAGACCGAUAGCGCACAAGUAGAGUGAUCGAAAGAUGAAAAGCACUUUGGAAAGAGAGUUAAACAGUACGUGAAAUUGUUGAAAGGGAAGCGCUUGCAACCAGACUUGCGGGCGGUCGAUCAUCCGAGGUUCUCCCCGGUGCACUCGAUCGUUCUCAGGCCAGCAUCGGUUUCCGGGGUGGGAUAAAGGCGGUGGGAAUGUGGCUCUUCGGAGUGUUAUAGCCCACCGUGCAAUGCCGCCACUGGGGACCGAGGACCGCGCUUCGGCUAGGAUGCUGGCGUAAUGGUUGUAAGCGACC